rnacentral:rRNA from 1 species
UACGGAGGGUGCGAGCGUUGUCCGGAAUCAUUGGGCGUAAAGGGCGCGUAGGUGGCCCGGUGAGCCUUUGGUGAAAGCGCGGGGCUCAACCCUGCGUCGGCCAGGGAUACUGCCGCGGCUCGAGCACUGUAGAGGCAGGCGGAAUUCCGGGUGUAGCGGUGGAAUGCGUAGAGAUCCGGAAGAACACCGGUGGCGAAGGCGGCCUGCUGGGCAGUGGCUGACGCUGAGGCGCGACAGCGUGGGGAGCAAACAGG